CAUCCUUCCCAAUAAGCCACUACAGCCCUUUUCCAUACAUCAGCCCAUUCACAUCCCUGUUCAGGGUCUCUCUCCCCUUCUUAUUAGUGAUUUUUUGUUUGUCUUAAUUCUUUAUUAUAUUUUGACUUCUACAAUAUAUGAUCUACUGCUUUUGCUUUCAUGUUUGAUUGCUUGGUUUGCCUUGAUCAGUCAGCUUGCGGUCAUGGUCCACGCCGCUCUGUGUAUGUGUGACUGUUUUGGUGCUGCUGGCUGGCAAUCGCUCUCUUUUAGUGCUCUGUGUUCCUCCCCUCUGCACUCAUACGUUUUCUUCCUUUUUUCCUUUUUCUCCAGAGUGCGGCUCCGCUGAUUGGCCGGUGUCAUCAUAUGACACGGCUGCUUCAGCGCUAAGGAGUGUGGGAAUUGUAGGCAUCUCAGCGACCAUGUGACCUCUGAGAUCCAAUCGCGAUGCACCCGCCUCCCCAACAGGCUAUAUAUAGCAUGAUAUGAUCAUUAUCUGUCUGCUACCAACAGGGUACUGACAGAUGUCUUUAUUCCUCUUAAAGAUAGGAGAUUAUCUGUGGACUUUUCAGCUGCAAUUGACUGGUCCUUGAUUUUUGCUGCAAACGACUAUCCUUUGACUUUCUAUCACCAGCUGAUGUUUGCUUGCACUCAGACUGUUCAUCUAGUUAAAUACUCCAUAUGAAUUGAGGCUCUUCAGUGCCCAUGUUAUUGUCUUACUUAAUUCCCCUGUAUUCACCUU